UACUUAAAGGGAAUUGUGGGGGGACCUCCCCCCCGGGAGGCGCGCGCGUUUAAAUCGGAUAACCACGGAAAAACUCACCAAGGGAGACCAUCCCAUGAAAGCCAGGCUAAUGACUUUGCUUGAUUCUUGGAGAAGUGGUGCAUGGCCAUCGUCAGUUCGUACUGUAAAGCGUUCUCUUAAGUGAGAUAACGAACAAGACCCACACUUAUAAUUGCUACUCGUCUGUCCGCAGGCGAGGCACAUUAUCGGGACCGCUGGCGCUAAGUCAGAGGAAGGAGUGGUCAACGGUAGGUCAGUAUGCCCUGAAUCUCUUGGGCUACACGCGCGCUACAAAGGGCGGGACAAUGAGUUCCCACACCGAAAGGUGGAGGCAAUCUCGAAACCCGUCCGUAGUUCGGACUGAGGGUUGUAACUCACCCUCACGAAGCUGGAUUCCGUAGUAAUCGCGAAUCAAAAACUCGCGGGAAUUUUCGCA
rnacentral:rRNA from 1 species